AUAUGUGAAAAUAUGAAAAUUAAUAAUCACCACCCACUCAUUUUUUCUUAUAAACCCCAGCUGUUACAAUCUCAUCUUCCUCCUCUAUCUUUAAUGACCAAACCAGCGUAAAAAACUGACCCUACACUCACCAAUCACCAUUGUCGCCUUCAUCCUCGAACAGAAACCAGAUUCAAUUGAGGAUGCUUGGAACAGGAUUCAGGAUUUGAGAAGAAGCAACCAGCCUCUCAACAUUUAUUGUUACGAUGCUUUCAUUCAGGGGUCGUGCCAAGAAGAUAGACCAGAUGAGGCUUUCUUAUAAAACUGGUGAUUUUUUGUAUUUUUAAACUUCAUGUCUUUUUAGUAAUAUUCAAAAAAAUAAUUGCAAAGUGAAAAAAAAUAUCUAAUUACAUAAUAUCAGAAUAAUUUUCACUAAUAAUAAUGUCUGCAUAGAAAAGUCAGCAAACAAAUAAUAAUUUCAUAAAAUGUUAAUGACGGUGUUUUCUAUUUUUGGUGUUAGAUUAAAACUACAAAUCUAAAUUUGGAAAGCAGCACGAUAGAAAAAUUAGUAACUAAUUAAGUCUUCAGUCCAAGCUACAACAUGAGUUUGAUCCCUUUUUUUAAUUUUAAAAAAUAUUUAGAUAUUAUUAAUAUUUUUUUAGUAGAAAAAAUUUAAAUUGGGUGGGGAUUGAUCUAAUGUAACUUGUUUAACUUAAUGGGUUCAAAAACAACUCGAUGACCAGUACAAAUAUAGUUUAACUUAAAAUAAAUAUUUAAUAUAAGAUUUUUAUAAAUAUUGAGAUGAAAAUAUAUUGAAUCGAUUUGGAUCAAUUUGGAUUAAUUUGUCAAUCUGCAUGCCAAAUAAUGAAAUCAUAAUAGAAAGGUUGUCAAUUUUGUUCCGGUAAGUGUUUUGUUUUUCAAUUAAAACGGAAUGUUUCGGUUUUGAAGCGUUUUAAAAUGUUGUUUUGGGAUUGUAUUGUGUGUGUGUGUGUGUGUAUUAAUUUAACAAUCAUAAUUCUAAUUCAAGAUAAAUUAACUUUAAAUUAUGCAAUAUAAAUACAAUGUCAAACAAAUAUAAUUUCAAAUUUUAAAACAUUCUUAAAUAGUCAAGAUUAAAUAAAAUUUUAAUUUAAAGUAAUUUAACUUAAACAAAAUAUCAAAAUAUUGUGAAAGUAAAAUAUUUUAACACAAAAGAAACAUAAAUUAAACAUUAUCUCCAUCGUUAACAUAGAAAUAAGGAUCUUGAUCUUAUGGUGGUAUGUAAGGAAAGUCACCAACUAGACAUUCCAAUAGUUGGUCAUUUCCACGAAGCUCAUUCUCGUCAUCAAAACAUGUCUCUUCAUCCUUUAAAAUCAAAGUAAAUAAAGAUGCUUCAAUAGUCUCUUAACUUAUAUCAUCUCCACCAGGAAGGUUAGAUUCUUCACAAAUCCACUCAUUUAAUAGGUCAAAGUUAUCAAGACUAAUAGGAUCUAAAGCAUUCCUUAUUUUACUCAAAUUCCUACAAAGUAUAAACAUGAAAAAAAAAAAACAAUAUGAAUAUAAACCAUAUAUAUUAGUGAUAAAUUUAAUUUUUAAAAAUAAUAUCAAUGUUAAUGAAAAUAGUAAUAAUUAUUUUCAAUAUUAUAUUAAUAUGAUAAUAUUGAUAUUUUAUCUUUAUUGAAUCCUUAAAUUAUAACGAAUAAAUACCAGAUCACUUAGUUUCUUAUGCUCUAGCUUAUUUUGCCUUUUAGAAUGGAUGAAUUUAAAUAUACUCUAAUUUCUUUCACACCUAAUUGCACUAUAACAUUGACUAAGAACUCGAAUUGCAAAUUUUUAAAGUUCUUAAGUAUCAUUACCAAAUCGCUCCUACCAUGCAACUAGAUAAGAAAAAAGUUUAGUAAAUUAGAUAUUAUAGAUACUAAACAAUAUUAUAUUUAAAAAAAUACAAAGUUAUUACCUAGAUUUAACUUUUCUCUUUGACAAAUAGCUAAGGGCAUGCCAAAAUCACCAAUUGCUUUCUUAUACUCCUUAAGUUGGCCAAUAAUUACAUCCCGAGUCACAAGCAAGGACCAAUGUAGUAAUUGUGCUAAGCAAACCUCAAGUAACCUCCUUUUGUUUUGAAAAAAAAGGCUUAAAAUAGAUUAUAAGAUUAAGAAAACAACUUGCUGCAUGUAAUGGACUAUAAAGUUACUUAUCUCAUCUAGCAUUAAUUAUCCAGAUAUAUAGUCCAUAUUGAGAUACUUUAUUUUCAACUUUGUCUUGAUGGUUUCUUUUCUUUUAUCCAUUGCCUUAUAUAAAUAACUCAUUGCUGAUUUUUCUUCACUAUCUAUUAACCAAAGAACUCUCACCAAAGGUUUUCACUAACUUUGACUAUAUGUUCACAUCGAAAGGCCAAAAGUCUUUAUCUUGUAAAAUUAUGGCAACUAUUUCUUUUCUAACUUUACUUUUAUCAUGACUUGAUUCUACUCGUUCCGUGCAAGUAAACAUUUGUCAAAGUUAUAUCUUAAACUUAAGUAAACAUUGGAUGCUUAAAAAAUACAUAACAAACCUCGUAAUGUCAAGACGACAUAAAUCAUUUUCAUUAGUAAAGUCUUUCCUCAUCAAAGCUAAAACUCAUGCAUGAUUAUUUAUAAAUUUAGUUAUGUUUCUUGCCUUCGUAAUGGUUUCAUCAAUCAUCAUAAAAUAUCUUGGAUCAGAAAUAUAUUCUAACAUCGAAUCAAUAUAAUAAGCAACACAAAAAGACAAAAAAAAAGCGUCAUAGCUUUGUUGUAAAGCCUUCCCAGCAACCUUAAAUGCAAGCUCAUUGUCACUAACAAAUUGGAUAAUAUUUUCUUAUCUCACUUCUUUGACAACUUCAUCAAACAUUUCAAGCAAUAUCUCUUUAUCUUUUCAAAAACCCAAAAUGUCAUUGGACUUAAAGAAUACGGUACCUCUUGGAGAAUAAGCAAGAAAAUUCAUAAUUGGUACAUUCCUUCUAUUUGACCACCUAUCUACUAUAAAUAGAAAUUCAUAAAGUUUCCAAUCAGCUUUGAUUCCAAAGAGGUAUUCAUAGGCAUCAUGAACUAUACCUUUUAAAAACGAUCUUUUUAAAUCAAUAUAUGAUGGUCCUUUAAAACCAAGUCUCAUUGAUGCUAUGACAUUUAUCAUUGGUUGAAAAUGGUAUGAUUCAGCACCAUUAAAUGGUACAUUAACAUCAUAUCACCAUCUUGCCAUGACUUUCAUUGUAUAAUAUUAAUUCUCUUUAGAAGCCAUUGCACUUUUAAUACUAGGUUGUAAACCCAGGGUAGUUCGUGGAAUGAAUAAAGUCGUCUUUUUUUUAGUUGCA